CCGUUUAAUAUCUAGUAAUUUUCUUUAAUAACAUUUAAAGAGAAGCAUUUAAAAGCAUAAUAACCAUUAAAUUAUUAAUUCUUGCAUGUGUGUAAAUUUGAAUGAUACACUACAAAGUAUGCUUCUAAAGCAACACGUAGAAGAAGAUUAUAAAUAAGUUAAUACCUCAUUUCAGAGAAAGUACGCCCGUGUAUUAUUUGACUGUCAAUCAAUUUAAUACUAAGUGCACUAUAUACUUGCCCAUGCUAGUAGGAAAUUCCUUGCUUAUAGACAUAUUUUCUCCGAUGUGAUAUUUAUCACAGUGAUAGUUUUUAGUGUACAUGAAUGUCGCGGUCAACAAUGAUUCCAAUUCGAAUUGUAUUCAUUUAAAAUACAGAAAUCACAAUUUUAUUUUUUAAAAUGAAAUUCCUCAUAAGGCCAAAAUUCUUUUUUAAAACCUUACGUCUUAUCGGUGAUAUGAUUGCUAUAUGGCCUAAACAUAUCGGUGCAAAGAAAACUAUGAUUAUGUUUCAUGAAGUAAAAUGGUGGUUGUCAUUUACGAAUGCUACCGGUUUGUUAAUACCACUUGUAUUGGGAGUCUAUUAUUUUCGUAAUGAUUCUAUAACGAUGACAAAAACGUUAUCAGAACUUACAGCAUUAUGCGAAGUUUUUAUCAAUCUUAUACAGUGUCGACUUCAGGAAAAAAAAUUUCAGGUAAUCCUUUAUGAGAUUGAAAACUUUAUUGAAAAUAGCAAUGAACAAGAAGAGUCACUAUUGCAAGAUUAUUUAAACAGAUACAAAACUUUGCAACUUUUUGUAGGAUCGUCAUUUAUAUCUACAGCAAUAUUAUUUUCUUGUAUACCAAUUUUCACGUCACAGUUACUUCCCGCGGAUGCGUGGUAUCCUUUUUCAGUGGAAUAUUUUCCAAUUCGCGUAUUUUUGUACAUAACGCAAGUUUUGGCUAUAUUUCAAACUGGAUUUGGUAUAUGCGUUGAUCUCACCGUUGCUACAAUGUUGUGGUACAGUGCUGUACAAAUUGAAUUGCUAGAAAAAAAUGUACAUAAAGCAGUUAGUAAAGCUGAACUUCGGGAGUGCGCUCGUCGCCAUCAAGAAAUCAUUGAAUUUACCGAUAAUAUAAAGAAAGGGAUUAAAUUUAUAAUCUUAAAGACAAAUGCAACAAUGAUAAUUGUCGUCAUUUGCGGUGCAUUCCAAUUAAUUCACCACGAGCCAUUAGAAGUUCUACUUCGGUUUACGCUUAUGGUAUUGGCGGGAUGCUUAAGAUUGUACGUUAGUGCCAAACCAGCUGAUGAUUUAAAAGAAAACAGUGAACAAUUAGCUCGGACUGCCUUCCAAACAGCGCUAAUGCAAAAAUCAACCUCUAAUUCGAAAAUUGGACUCAUGUUGGCUUUCCGGUGUCAAAAACCAAUCGUACUUUCUGUAACAGCUGUAAUUAGAGCGUAUACUCUUCAGUACUAUGCUUCUUUUUUAUCUCGAACAGUGACAUAUUUCGUAAAUUUAAGAGCAGUUUUGGAUGAUUAAAAUUCAGGUGAUAUGCUAAGUAUUUUUUGUUACAUAAAUAUGUCAAUGGCAAUAUCCAAAUAGUACACUCCUUAGCUUCUUGCAAGUACACUAUCCAUUAAUAAAAUCUGAAUAUUUAGAACGUCAUCUAUCAUGAUAUCUCCAUAAGAAAUACAUUAAAUUUUGUCUAGAUGCAGUGGAUAGUGUGAUCCGCGAUGAAAUAUGCUUCUAUAUAGUCGAACUGAUGGAUAAAUCCAUGAUUUUGGAUUUAAGACAAAGGAUAGAACAAUGAUAAAUAAGUUAAAAGAAAAACGUACAAAAAUCAAUCUUUUUUCUAUAUUGAACUUAAUAAAAACACACUUUGUGCUCAUUUUGUAUGCUAUUGAUUAUGAAAGACUGUAAUUUCGUAAUAAAUCAUUAUUCAAUGAAAUAUUUCUACUCUUUACAAA